rnacentral:lncRNA from 1 species
AUGGCCCUGCCCGUCGUACACAGGUGCCUCCAACUCAGUGAUGAAAAUGAGCAGUUAGUCAAGAAGGUGAAAAAACUACACAUAAAAAAUAAGGAGCUAGAAAAGAAUCUGUGUCAGAUCCAAGAACAACUGCAUCUGCAGCGGUUAACGCCUGUCUGUGGCACAAGCAGAGAUGUUCAGGUUCAAACAGAAACCUGUUUAUGGCAUAAAGGCGGAGACAGCAAGGAUCUGGUUCUAGAGAGUGACAGUGUCAGACUCCUUCAGAUGUAUAAUGAGCUACAGAAACGUUAUGUUAAAGAAACCAAAACAAACAAGGAGCAAAGCGAAGCAAUUAAAAAUCUCACUAUUAAAAUUAAUGAGCUAGAGCAUAAUCUUCAAGAGCAGAGGCAAAGAAUUGAGCAACUGGAACGCAAAAAGGUUUCUUGGAAAACUAGUGCUGUUUCUGGAAAAAGAAGUCAAACCCCAGAGGGAGGAGUAACUUCUCACAGGGACAUUUCUGAAAAGAAGGAAUCCUGUUGCAGUAGAUAUUUAGAGCUAUUGUUGAAGGAGAUUAAAAAGCUGAAGAAAGAAAAUGGAAAGUUGUCUGCAGAAAAGAGAGCACUAAAAAAUGAGUUAGCUGGAUUAGACAAGGGUUUUUUUGAAGAGGUAGAAGAUCUAAAGCACGCUGUACAGGAAUCUGUGAAACUGAACAAUGAGUAUGAAAAGUGCUUGAAACAAAUAAGUGUAAUAUAUGGACUACCUUUUACAGCACAUUUGUAACUACUGGGUAAUUUAAUGCCAAGUAGAGUGUCCACAUAUUUUUUAUACUUACUGUAGCAUUUAAAGUGGUACCACAGUUUGAUAAUGUUGUAGAUUCAGUAAUGGGAUCUCAAUAUGACAAGUGCUCAGAAAUGUUGUACUUUGUGACCUUGAUUUUUUUUGUUUAUAUGUUUCUAAAUAAACUGUGAUCUGCAUAACUUCAACUAAGUUUCAAACCCAUCUCUUUCACACUUGCAGAAUAUACUGUGAUUGUGCAUGUUUAUGGGAAUAUAAUAAAAUUGUUUUAUUUUGAAGAGCUUCCCAAUUUAUCCUUUUCUGUAAGCUACAGAACGAAAUCAAAGUAUCUGUGUAGAUUUGGCAGUCUUCAUGGAUUUCAGCCCUAAGGAUGUGCUAAUGCAAACAGAAAUUAAAUCUAUCAUUAAAUUAUUGCAAAGGGGUUUCUUAAAAAUGCUAAAUCUCUGCUUGGAUUUUUUCUUCAAUCACAAUAAUAGUGAAAAAUUGUGGAUGAAGGAAGGAUUUAGUGCUCAGAAUUGGAAAGUGUAUUCAUAAAGAUGGGUCAGAGAGUUUUGCAUCAUCAAAAGAAGAAUUCAUCAGAAGCUCUUAUUUGGUUCAAGAGUGAGGUACUUGAAGAACUCUGGUAUUUGAAGAGCUGAAAAGUGGGAGUGCAGAAAAUCAGAGUCCACAAGGCAGAAAUGUCGUGUUGCUUCAGGGAGGGUGAGCUUGGAAUGAGAAGAGACAACUCCCAGUUGCAAGUGUAGCUUGCAGAACCUUGUGGGAUUUGAACCUGAACUUGUUUGUAAGGACAUUCCACAAAAGUUUAACAUAGUUACAUUAUAGAACUAUAUUUUUCUGAAAGUUGUAAAUCUCUACCUUUGUGACAUUGUGAUGGGAGAGUUGAGUGAAAACUCCUUAGGGUAGAAACACUAAGCUUGCUUAUAACCUGAUACAGCUUCUUUAGCUUCAUAAAAAUACAUGCACACUCCUGAGGGAUAGGACUAGGAGCAGGAUUAAGACUCUCAUAUCCUACUGGUUUUCUUAAGACAGUUUUAUGUAGGUGUAAUUUAAUAAAGAAAUUUGCCUCAAAGCAUGUGAGGUGUUCAGAGUUGCAUAUUCACUAGGCAAUAGGGAGGGGAAAGCUCCAGAACUCCAUGUUCCUGCUCUGGCUAUAGACCGCUGUGUGCCCUUGUUUCAUUCUUGGCUCACUUGCAAAUUAAAGCUGGAUAAUGUCCUGAACAAGAGAUGGAAAAGGGAACCAGAAAAGGAGUGAUGCAAGUCUGCAUUGCCAGUAAACUUGAUGGAAGAAAAACAGGAGGAUAGCAUGUGUAACAGAAAAAUUUUAGUGCAAAAAUGCUUGUAACAUUCGUUAAUAAGUAAAACAAACACGAAUCCUGGAGAAGAAAGCAGUGCCAGUCACUGGAGCCUUUUCCCCCACAGUGUUGUGGUACAAAGCUACACUUUUAGCGUGUUUAAACUUUGGCCCCGUUGUUAAAUGAUCCAGUAAUUGUGCUCGUCCAUAGGCUGAUUUUUAAAUGUUGGGCAGAACAAGAAACAGUGAGAAGUCCUUCAGUCUUUUUUCAUAACUAAGGUCUUCCAGCUC